ACAGUGUCUGGUGGGUAGUUUGACUGGGGCGGUCUCCUCCCAAAGAGUAACGGAGGAGCACGAAGGUUAGCUAAUCCUGGUCGGACAUCAGGAGGUUAGUGCAAUGGCAUAAGCUAGCUUGACUGCGAGCGUGACGGCGCGAGCAGGUGCGAAAGCAGGUCAUAGUGAUCCGGUGGUUCUGAAUGGAAGGGCCAUCGCUCAACGGAUAAAAGGUACUCCGGGGAUAACAGGCUGAUACCGCCCAAGAGUUCAUAUCGACGGCGGUGUUUGGCACCUCGAUGUCGGCUCAUCACAUCCUGGGGCUGAAGUAGGUCCCAAGGGUAUGGCUGUUCGCCAUUUAAAGUGGUACGCGAGCUGGGUUUAGAACGUCGUGAGACAGUUCGGUCCCUAUCUGCCGUGGGCGCUGGAGAAUUGAGGGGGGCUGCUCCUAGUACGAGAGGACCGGAGUGGACGCAUCACUGGUGUUCGGGUUGUCAUGCCAAUGGCACUGCCCGGUAGCUAAAUGCGGAAGAGAUAAGUGCUGAAAGCAUCUAAGCACGAAACUUGCCCCG
rnacentral:rRNA from 1 species